CGCUAUACUCCUACGGGAGGCAGCAGUGGGGAAUAUUGCACAAUGGGGGAAACCCUGAUGCAGCCAUGCCGCGUGUGUGAAGAAGGCCUUCGGGUUGUAAAGCACUUUCAGUAGGGAGGAAGGUAGUGUAGUUAACACCUGCACUAUUUGACGUUACCUACAGAAGAAGCACCGGCUAACUCCGUGCCAGCAGCCGCGGUAAUACGGAGGGUGCGAGCGUUAAUCGGAAUUACUGGGCGUAAAGCGCAUGCAGGCGGCCUGUUAAGUCAGAUGUGAAAGCCCGGGGCUUAACCUCGGAAUUGCAUUUGAAACUGGCAGGCUAGAGUCUUGUAGAGGGGGUAGAAUUUCAGGUGUAGCGGUGAAAUGCGUAGAGAUCUGAAGGAAUACCAGUGGCGAAGGCGGCCCCCUGGACAAAGACUGACGCUCAGAUGCGAAAGCGUGGGGAGCAAACAGGAUUAGAUACCCUGGUAG
rnacentral:rRNA from 1 species